rnacentral:tRNA from 1 species
GGGGCCAUAGUUGAAUGGGACAACGCCGCAUUCGCAUUGCGGUGGUACGGGUUCAAUUCCCGUUGGCUCCA